rnacentral:rRNA from 1 species
UACGUAGGGUGCAAGCGUUGUCCGGAAUUAUUGGGCGUAAAGAGCUCGUAGGCGGUCUGUCGCGUCGAAUGUGAAAACCCGGGGCUCAACCCCGGGCCUGCAUUCGAUACGGGCAGACUAGAGUUCGGUAGGGGAGUCUGGAAUUCCUGGUGUAGCGGUGAAAUGCGCAGAUAUCAGGAGGAACACCGGUGGCGAAGGCGGUUCUCUGGGCAUGAUCUGACGCUGAGGAGCGAAAGUGUGGGGAGCGAACAGG